rnacentral:rRNA from 1 species
UACCCGCAGCACAAGUGGUGGUCAUUAUUAUUGGGCCUAAAGCGUCCGUAGCUGGCUUGUUAGAUGCCUGGGUAAAUCGAUGCGCUCAACGUAUCGACUUCCGGGUAGACCGGCAAGCUCGAGACCGGGAGAGGUGUAGGCUACUCGAGGGGGUAGGGGUAAAAUCCUGUAAUCCUUCGGGGAGGACCAGUGGCGAAGGCGCUACACUAGAACGGCUCUGACAGUGAGGGACGAAGCCCUGGGGCGCAAACCGG